rnacentral:lncRNA from 1 species
GAGUCCACACUACAAGAAAAUAUUUUCAGUAACUCCUUCAUCCAUUGGACGAGUGAAUACUGGAAGAAGGGUAUUCUGGAAAUUUAAUUUCAGAAUAGGGUAUAUAGGGAAUAAAAAAUCAAAAAAGGGUAAGAAAGGAAAAAAGUCUACUAAAUAUGGAGUAAAGUUCGAUAGGAUUUUUGUGAUACAUGUGAUUUUCUUUUGGUGAAAAA